rnacentral:rRNA from 1 species
AGUGAACGCUGGCGGUAGGCCUAACACAUGCAAGUCGAACGGCAGCACAGUAAGAGCUUGCUCUUACGGGUGGCGAGUGGCGGACGAGUGAGUAAUACAUCGGAAUCUACUCUUUCGUGGGGGAUAACGUAGGGAAACUUACGCUAAUACCGCAUACGACCUCCGGGUGAAAGCAGGGGAUCUUCUGACCUUGCGCGAUUGUAUGAGCCGAUGUCGGCUUAGCUAGUUGGCGGGGUAAAGGCCCACCACGGCGACGAUCCGAAGCUGGUCUGAGAGGAUGAUCAGCCACACUGGAACUGAGACACAGUCCAGACUCCGACGGGAGGCAGCAGUGGAGAAUAUUGGACAAUGGAGGCAAGCCUGAUCCAGCCAUACCGCGUGGGUGAAGAAGGCCUUCGGGUUGUAAAGCCCUGUUGUUGGGAAAGAAAAGCAGCAGGUUAAUACCCCGCUGUUCUGACGGUACCCAAAGAAUAAGCACCGGCUAACUUCGUG